CUGCUGUGUUCGGGAAUAACUGAGUCCGCAACUUAUGGAGUCCCACGGAGCUGGGACUGCAACCUGCCUUUUCCACCGAGGGGCCUUGAUCGGUGCUGCCCACCCCAGCAGGAUUAGCUACGCACCCCGCCCUAAACAUGCCUGCAGUGCAGCACUCCCACAUAUCCAAAGAUCUCAUAAUUGUUUAUCUAAUCUAAUGUGCUGAAGUCAAGUUGAUGGGGGCAGACUCUUUUUGGUGGUGAGCAGCAAUAGAACAAGGGGCAACAGGCAGAAACUGGAACACAGGAAGUUCCAUACUAACACAAGGAAGAACUUCUAUGCUGUCAGAGUGACGGAGCACUGGGACAGGCUGCCCAGAGAGGUUAUGGAGUCGUCUUCUCUAGGGAUAUUCAAGACCCACCUGGAUGCCAACCUGUGCGACCUGCUGUAGGGAACUGCUUUAGUGGAGGACUCAAUUUAUUGGACUCAAUCUCUAGACAUCCCUUCCAACCCCUACCAUUCUGUGAUUGUGUAAUUCUGUGAAAGGCAAAUACACAUCACAGUGUAAAAACAAAACUGUGAACCUCCUUCUACUUCAAAUGGGGAGGAGGAUAAGCUCCCAGGAGCCCAGUGUUGUCUUGCUCUGGUCAAUACAUUGCAAUCCGACGGAGAACUUGUACUGCCCAUCUGUUUAAGAUUUGGACCCUCUUACAUUGUGCAGAAAGUACUUUAUUCCUGGGGCACAGGUAGAGACAUUGGAGGGGUCCCCAAAUGCAGGCAGGAAUUUGUAUCACAAAUAAGGCAUCUUUGUCUUCUACGCCUUCAAUAGAGGCUGCUAAAAAUGGGCUUUUCAUUCAGCCCAGAGUACAAAAACUUCAAAACGAAACAACAAACCCAACCAUCUCCCUGUGCCUGUGCUGCCACCUCCCUCUCUCUCCUCUGCUUGCGGCAGGCAGCUCGGGCUGUGAAGACCCGGUGCCGAGACUGAGGAAGCAAAUGUACAUAUGGAUGGGAGACAAGCUGGGUGCUUAUCAGGAGGAAACAGCUUUCAGUGGCUUCCAGAUGGGGCCCUUUCCUACCUGUACACCCUAGGACUCUGAAAACUACUGCAAGCCAGGAGGCCUCACACAGGAACUCAACAACACUAGCAAGAAUGUAAUUGCCUUCAGAGCUAGCAGCGCUGGCAUGAGAGACUGCCUUCAGUAAGAACAGACUUUCCACCAUCACGCGCCUCACCCAGGUGCACAACUUCGUUUGCAAAGGCCCAAGGGAGUGAAACAGCUCUGCAAGGCCUUAGGAGAAGGGAAAUUGCUAUCAGACUCCUGUUGACUCCACAGCCCACCAAGGAGGCUGCUGGCUUCUACAGGCCAUCCCCCAUCUGUUGGAAUAGCAGGAAGUUUUGCUUUAGCAAUAAAAAAUAAAAAAUGCUGGAGUCCA
rnacentral:lncRNA from 1 species